rnacentral:rRNA from 1 species
GAUUAAGUUAUUAAGGGCGCACGGUGGAUGCCUUGGCACUAGAAGCCGAUGAAGGACGUUACUAACGACGAUAUGCUUUGGGGAGCUGUAAGUAAGCUUUGAUCCAGAGAUUUCCGAAUGGGGAAACCCAGCAUGAGUUAUGUCAUGUUAUCGAUAUGUGAAUACAUAGCAUAUCAGAAGGCACACCCGGAGAACUGAAACAUCUUAGUACCCGGAGGAAGAGAAAGAAAAUUCGAUUCCCUUAGUAGCGGCGAGCGAAACGGGAAGAGCCCAAACCAACAAGCUUGCUUGUUGGGGUUGUAGGACACUCUAUACGGAGUUACAAAGGACGACAUUAGACGAAUCAUCUGGAAAGAUGAAUCAAAGAAGGUAAUAAUCCUGUAGUCGAAAAUGUUGUCUCUCUUGAGUGGAUCCUGAGUACGACGGAGCACGUGAAAUUCCGUCGGAAUCUGGGAGGACCAUCUCCUAAGGCUAAAUACUCUCUAGUGACCGAUAGUGAACCAGUACCGUGAGGGAAAGGUGAAAAGCACCCCGGAAGGGGAGUGAAAUAGAACCUGAAACCGUGUGCUUACAAGUAGUCAGAGCCCGUUAAUGGGUGAUGGCGUGCCUUUUGUAGAAUGAACCGGCGAGUUACGAUUUGAUGCAAGGUUAAGCAGUAAAUGUGGAGCCGUAGCGAAAGCGAGUCUGAAUAGGGCGUUUAGUAUUUGGUCGUAGACCCGAAACCAGGUGAUCUACCCUUGGUCAGGUUGAAGUUCAGGUAACACUGAAUGGAGGACCGAACCGACUUACGUUGAAAAGUGAGCGGAUGAACUGAGGGUAGCGGAGAAAUUCCAAUCGAACCUGGAGAUAGCUGGUUCUCUCCGAAAUAGCUUUAGGGCUAGCCUCAAGUGAUGAUUAUUGGAGGUAGAGCACUGUUUGGACGAGGGGCCCCUCUCGGGUUACCGAAUUCAGACAAACUCCGAAUGCCAAUUAAUUUAACUUGGGAGUCAGAACAUGGGUGAUAAGGUCCGUGUUCGAAAGGGAAACAGCCCAGACCACCAGCUAAGGUCCCAAAAUAUAUGUUAAGUGGAAAAGGAUGUGGCGUUGCCCAGACAACUAGGAUGUUGGCUUAGAAGCAGCCAUCAUUUAAAGAGUGCGUAAUAGCUCACUAGUCGAGUGACACUGCGCCGAAAAUGUACCGGGGCUAAACAUAUUACCGAAGCUGUGGAUUGUCCUUUGGACAAUGGUAGGAGAGCGUUCUAAGGGCGUUGAAGCAUGAUCGUAAGGACAUGUGGAGCGCUUAGAAGUGAGAAUGCCGGUGUGAGUAGCGAAAGACGGGUGAGAAUCCCGUCCACCGAUUGACUAAGGUUUCCAGAGGAAGGCUCGUCCGCUCUGGGUUAGUCGGGUCCUAAGCUGAGGCCGACAGGCGUAGGCGAUGGAUAACAGGUUGAUAUUCCUGUACCACCUAUAAUCGUUUUAAUUGAUGGGGGGACGCAGUAGGAUAGGCGAAGCGUGCGAUUGGAUUGCACGUCUAAGCAGUAAGGCUGAGUAUUAGGCAAAUCCGGUACUCAUUAAGGCUGAGCUGUGAUGGGGAGAAGACAUUGUGUCUUCGAGUCGUUGAUUUCACACUGCCGAGAAAAGCCUCUAGAUAGAAAAUAGGUGCCCGUACCGCAAACCGACACAGGUAGUCAAGAUGAGAAUUCUAAGGUGAGCGAGCGAACUCUCGUUAAGGAACUCGGCAAAAUGACCCCGUAACUUCGGGAGAAGGGGUGCUCUUUAGGGUUAACGCCCAGAAGAGCCGCAGUGAAUAGGCCCAAGCGACUGUUUAUCAAAAACACAGGUCUCUGCUAAACCGUAAGGUGAUGUAUAGGGGCUGACGCCUGCCCGGUGCUGGAAGGUUAAGAGGAGUGGUUAGCUUCUGCGAAGCUACGAAUCGAAGCCCCAGUAAACGGCGGCCGUAACUAUAACGGUCCUAAGGUAGCGAAAUUCCUUGUCGGGUAAGUUCCGACCCGCACGAAAGGCGUAACGAUUUGGGCACUGUCUCAACGAGAGACUCGGUGAAAUCAUAGUACCUGUGAAGAUGCAGGUUACCCGCGACAGGACGGAAAGACCCCGUGGAGCUUUACUGUAGCCUGAUAUUGAAAUUCGGCACAGCUUGUACAGGAUAGGUAGGAGCCUUUGAAACGUGAGCGCUAGCUUACGUGGAGGCGCUGGUGGGAUACUACCCUAGCUGUGUUGGCUUUCUAACCCGCACCACUUAUCGUGGUGGGAGACAGUGUCAGGCGGGCAGUUUGACUGGGGCGGUCGCCUCCUAAAAGGUAACGGAGGCGCUCAAAGGUUCCCUCAGAAUGGUUGGAAAUCAUUCAUAGAGUGUAAAGGCAUAAGGGAGCUUGACUGCGAGACCUACAAGUCGAGCAGGGUCGAAAGACGGACUUAGUGAUCCGGUGGUUCCGCAUGGAAGGGCCAUCGCUCAACGGAUAAAAGCUACCCCGGGGAUAACAGGCUUAUCUCCCCCAAGAGUUCACAUCGACGGGGAGGUUUGGCACCUCGAUGUCGGCUCAUCGCAUCCUGGGGCUGUAGUCGGUCCCAAGGGUUGGGCUGUUCGCCCAUUAAAGCGGUACGCGAGCUGGGUUCAGAACGUCGUGAGACAGUUCGGUCCCUAUCCGUCGUGGGCGUAGGAAAUUUGAGAGGAGCUGUCCUUAGUACGAGAGGACCGGGAUGGACAUACCUCUGGUGUACCAGUUGUCGUGCCAACGGCAUAGCUGGGUAGCUAUGUGUGGACGGGAUAAGUGCUGAAAGCAUCUAAGCAUGAAGCCCCCCUCAAGAUGAGAUUUCCCAACUUCGGUUAUAAGAUCCCUCAAAGAUGAUGAGGUUAAUAGGUUCGAGGUGGAAGCAUGGUGACAUGUGGAGCUGACGAAUACUAAUCGAUCGAAGACUUAAUCAA